rnacentral:rRNA from 1 species
AAAGCCUGAUCCAGCCAUGCCGCGUAGUGAAGAAGGUCUUCGGAUUUAAAGCUCUGUUGUCAGGGGAAAGAAACGGGACUAGUCAGUGACCGGUAGAGAAAGACUGCCGCAUGCCGAGGGACUCACUGGUCUGGAGUCCGCUAACUGACGGGCGACGCACAAGACGGGUGCGGGGUGG